CUUGCUUGCAGAUGGACGAGACGCUGGCAGGGGUGGCCGAGAAAAUCAGGAACUUCGCGGUGAUCUGCCCAUGGCGCCUGAUUCUACAGGUUCAGCUGUGGUUCUCAUAUAAGGAAGAGUGUCAUAGCUAUUGUCAAAAUUUAGCCUCCUUCGCUUUGAGAUGACCAACUAUUGUGUGUUUAUGAAGAGAAGUGCCUAAUCUCAAGACCAAAGGUGCUACAAGGUGAUAUUUGUGUCGUGAAACUUAUAAGAAGCAGUACAUUACUAUGCCUACAGGAAGAAGUACAACUGAUGGUUACUGGAUUUCUGAAUACACUAUU